AUUUGUAGAAUGAUAUAUCUGGAAAAUUCCAGAGCAUAGCUAUACCAUCUAUGCUAUUUAUGAGACUUGUAAAAACGAACUAGUAGCUAUCUUUUGUGAAAUUGUAAUAUGUUCACUAAUACAAUUCUGCUCAUCUUUAACAAUUGCCAAAGACUUCCCCAACUUCCCAAGCUUUCAUCCAUUACUGAAACACAUCAAGUCAAGGGUAAAAUCUGGCAUCUAUUUAAUAACACAUAGCAAUUCAUGCCUAUCCCAGUCAGGAAGUGAAAUUGAUAUAAAUACAAACAUACAUAUUAUGCCAUGUGAAAUUUCAUCUAGUACAAAUAGUAGCUUAUAGCCGAAAUGAAAAUAUUGUUCAUUUCAGACUGCAUGCUAUUGAAACAGAGGACAAGCUAUAGAUUGAGUCAAAGGAGUUAGGUAAAGUAAACUACAGAGUUUGAACACUGCAAGAAUUAUUUUAUACCUUUUGAAAAAGACUUCCUAUGUUUUUUUGUAUCCUAGAUCAAGCAGAAGAAUUUUGUUUCAACUGCUGCUAUUCCACAAACAGUGACAUUUUGUACUUCUAAUUAAGAGGACAAAAUGUCAUUCUUAAGUUAAAUAAUUGACUGCUGCCCUUUUUAGGAGCAUUGUCUAUUUUUCAAUCCACUAAAACACAUAUUUGGUAUGAUUAUUACAUCUGGGAUGGGUGGUGCAGAGUAGCAGAUAAUGGCUUUAGGAUAAGAGUCUAACUUUCAUCAAGAUAGGAUUUUUUCAGACCCAUUGAAAAUGUGUAUUUGUUUGCAUUAGCUUUGUUUUCUUUUAUCCCAGGAGAAAUUCUUUGAUGUUUAGACACUCAAAGUUAAGAAAACAUGAGAGAGAUGAAAGUUAUCUGAGAAAAUAACAGGAGAAAAAAGAAAUACAGUCUCUUGGAACUAAAAGUAUAUAAGGAACACUUCCUCUGGGAUGAGAGAAGGUAUACCUCUCUAAUUUGAAUUUGGGGAGGCAAAGUGACAUAGUGGAAAAAUAUCUGAACUGCAACUCAGAAGACAAGCCACAA
rnacentral:lncRNA from 10 species